rnacentral:rRNA from 1 species
AGUGAACGCUGGCGGUAGGCCUAACACAUGCAAGUCGAACGGCAGCACAGUAAGAGCUUGCUCUUACGGGUGGUGAGUGGCGGACGGGUGAGGAAUACAUCGGAAUCUACUUUUUCGUGGGGGAUAACGUAGGGAAACUUACGCUAAUACCGCAUACGACCUACGGGUGAAAGCAGGGGAUCUUCGGACCUUGCGCGAUUGAAUGAGCCGAUGUCGGAUUAGCCAGUUGGCGGGGUAAAGGCCCACCAAGGCGACGAUCCGUAGCUGGUCCGAGAGGAUGAUCAGCCACACUGGAACUGAGACACGGUCCAGACUCCUACGGGAGGCAGCAGUGGGGAAUAUUGGACAAUGGGCGCAAGCCUGAUCCAGCCAUACCGCGUGGGUGAAGAAGGCCUUCGGGUUGUAAAGCCCUUUUGUUGGGAAAGAAAAGCAGCAGGUUAAUACCCCGCUGUUCUGACGGUACCCAAAGAAUAAGCACCGGCUAACUUCGUG